rnacentral:rRNA from 1 species
UACGGAGGGUGCGAGCGUUGUCCGGAAUCACUGGGCGUAAAGGGCGCGUAGGCGGCAUGGCAAGUGGAAGGCGAAAUCCCUCGGCUUAACCGAGGAACUGCCCUCCAAACUGCUUUGCUUGAGGCCGGGAGAGGUGAGUGGAAUUCCCAGUGUAGCGGUGAAAUGCGUAGAUAUUGGGAGGAACACCAGUGGCGAAGGCGGCUCACUGGACCGGUUCUGACGCUGAUGCGCGAAAGCGUGGGGAGCAAACGGG